ACUCCAGCCCUAGAAGCCAGCCUCUACCUCUCUCAAAAACUCAUUUUUUUAGCUUUGAUUUUGUGGUGAAUUGCUUGUGGAAGAAAGCUUAGUUUUGGAGAUUUGGGGAUUUGCUCUUGCUUAGAUUUGAGGAUUACCGGCACUUGGUCAAGAGCACCCGGGGAUUUGGAAUCUCCAUAUUUGCGGGACAUCAGGAAAGGGUAAAUCUAUCUCUGAUCAGCCAUGAGUAUGGGAGUUGGGCGAUGUAUGUACAUGUUCGUGCUACACUAGACCAAGUGGGUUGGGGUCUACCAGUGUUGAAACUUUUGUAACUCUAUUUUGCCGCUUAGGUCGGUUAAGGAGAAAAGACUUGUAAUAUUUUGUAAAAUAAUUUUUGGGAUCCCGAAAUAUGUAACUUUUGUUUGUAAGGUUAAAAUUAUUACAAGUUUAUUUUCAUUC